GAUGAACGCUAGCGGCAGGCUUAACACAUGCAAGUCGAGGGGCAGCGCAGGUAGCAAUACUGGGCGGCGACCGGCAAACGGGUGCGGAACACGUACGCAAUUUACCCUUAUCUGGGGGAUAGCCCGGAGAAAUCCGGAUUAAUACCCCAUAAUAUAUAUGGAUGGCAUCAUCUGCAUAUUAAAGCUCAGGCGGAUAAGGAUGAGCGUGCGUCCCAUUAGCUAGUUGGUAGGGUAAAGGCCUACCAAGGCGACGAUGGGUAGCUGGUGUGAGAGCACGACCAGCCACACGGGCACUGAGACACGGGCCCGACUCCUACGGGAGGCAGCAGUGAGGAAUAUUGGUCAAUGGACGCAAGUCUGAACCAGCCAUGCCGCGUGGAGGAUGAAGGCCUUCUGGGUUGUAAACUUCUUUUAUCGGGGAAGAAAAUUAUGGUUUCUACUAUAACCGACGGUACCCGAGGAAUCAGCACCGGCUAACUCCGUGCCAGCAGCC
rnacentral:rRNA from 1 species